CGCGUAGGCGGUCAUGUAAGUCUUGUGUGAAAUCCCUCGGCUCAACUGGGGAACUGCACAGGAUACUGCUUGGCUUGAGUUCGGGAGAGGGAAGCGGAAUUCCGGGUGUAGCGGUGAAAUGCGCAGAUAUCCGGAGGGACACCGGUGGCGAAGGCGGCUUCCUGGACCGAAACUGACGCUGAGGCGCGAAAGCUAGGGGAGCAAACG
rnacentral:rRNA from 1 species